UGAAUACGAGAUGCUACGGCGUCGAAGCAGUCUAUGUCAGGCUUCCAAGAAAAGCUUGCACUGUCAGAAACAAAUAAUGCCUGUACCAUAACCGACACAUGUGGGUAGGUAGAGUAUACUAAGGGGCGCGAGAUAACUCUCUCUAAGGAACUCGGCAAAAUGACUCCGUAACUUCGGGAGAAGGAGUGCCUUAUUUUUAAGGUUGCAAUAACAAGAUCCAAGCAACUGUUUACCAAAAACACAGGUCUCCGCUAAGUCGUAAGACGAUGUAUGGGGGCUGACGCCUGCCCAGUGCCAGAAGGUUAAGGAAGUUGGUUAGCACUUGCGAAGCUGAUAACUGAAGCCCUGGUGAACGGCGGCCGUAACUAUAACGGUCCUAAGGUAGCGAAAUUCCUUGUCGGGUAAGUUCCGACCCGCACGAAAGGCGUAAUGAUUUGGAUACUGUCUCGGAGAGGGGCUCGGUGAAAUAGACUUGUCUGUGAAGAUGCGGACUACCUGCACCUGGACAGAAAGACCCUAUGAAGCUUUACUGUAACUUGAGAUUGAAAUCGGACUUUAUUUGCGCAGUAUAGGUGGGAGGCGUUGAGAAUAAUCUUGCGGGAUUAUUGGAGCCAUCAGUGAGAUACCACUCUUGUAAUGUUAGAUUUCUAACUUUGGAUCAUUAUCUGGUCAAAGAACAGUUUCAGGCGGGCAGUUUGACUGGGGCGGUCGCCUCCCAAACGGUAACGGAGGCGCACAAAGGUUUCCUCUGAACGGGUAGAAAUCGUAUCUAGAGUGUAAAGGCAUAAGGAAGCUUGACUGUGAGACCUACAAGUCGAGCAGGGACGAAAGUCGGUCUUAGUGAUCUGACGGUGCUGAGUGGAAAGGCCGUCACUCAACGGAUAAAAGUUACUCUAAGGAUAACAGGCUGAUCUCCCCCAAGAGUUCACAUCGACGGGGAGGUUUGGCACCUCGAUGUCGGCUCAUCGCAUCCUGGGGCGGUAGUACGUCCCAAGGGUUGGGCUGUUCGCCCAUGAAAGCGGUACGCGAGCUGGGUUCAGAACGUCGUGAGACAGUUCGGUCCAUAUCCGGUGUAGGCGUUAGAAUAUUGAGAGGAGCCUUCUCUAGUACGAGAGGACCGAGAAGGACAUACCUCUGGUGUACCAGUUAUCGUGCCAACGGUAAACGCUGGGUAGCUAUGUAUGGAGUGGAUAACCGCUGAAAGCAUCUAAGUGGGAAGCCCACCUCAAGAUAAGUAUUCUCAUCACGUAAGUGAAUAAGGUCACGGUAAGACGAACCGUUUGAUAGGCAUUAAGUGUAAAUCUAGUAAUAGGUGUGCUGAGAUGUACUAACAGACCGAAGACUUGAAU
rnacentral:rRNA from 1 species